AUUGAACGCUGGCGGCAUGCUUUACACAUGCAAGUCGAACGGUAACAGGGUGCUUGCACCGCUGACGAGUGGCGAACGGGUGAGUAAUGCGUCGGAACGUGCCGAGUAGUGGGGGAUACCGCAGCGAAAGUUGUGCUAAUACCGCAUACGUACUGAGGUAGAAAGUGGGGGACCUUCGGGCCUCACGCUAUUCGAGCGGCCGACGUCUGAUAGCUAGUAGGUGAGGUAAAGGCUCACCUAGGCGACGAUCAGUAGCGGGUCUGCAAGGAUGAUCCGCCACACUGGGACUGGGACACGGCCCAGACUCCUACGGGAGGCAGCAGUGGGGAAUUUUGGACAAUGGGCGAAAGCCUGAUGCAGCCAUGCCGCGUGUCUGAAGAAGGCCUUCGGGUUGUAAAGGACUUUUGUCAGGGAGGAAAUCCCUAGCGUUAAUACCGCUGGGGGAUGACAGUACCUGAAGAAUAAGCACCGGCUAACUACGUGCCAGCAGCCGCGGUAA
rnacentral:rRNA from 1 species